AUGUUUUCUCUCGUGUUGCAACACACAGACUUUUUUUUGCUAGUAAAGCAAAUAGUGUUUCUUGUCGUCCAUCGUCAGCAAUUUUGCAAAAUAGUCCCUGUCCUUUUUGGUAUUCAACCCGCGAGGCUCAACAUCAGGGGCCGCGUCUACCCGGCGAUCCUCCCUGUAGACAGCAACAAAGUCCCUGGAAAGGUUUGGAAGGGGAUCACUGAUGGGGAGCUUGAUGUGCUGGACACAUUUGAAGAUGAAGAGUAUGUGAGGGAAGCUGUUGGCAUCUCACUGACCGAUUCGUCGGAUACAAUGAUCGCCUAUGCAUACAUAUGGGGGAAUGUAGAUGAUCCUGACCUCUAUAGUGAAUGGGAUUUUGACUUCACUCGUUGUACUAAGGAGAGGCAAUCAGAAGCGAAAAUGACAGAGGUCAGUCCCUCAUCACGGGCGAGAAUCACAGCUUGA
rnacentral:rRNA from 1 species